GAAAGAUGGUUCUGCUAUCACUCUUGGAUGGACCUGCGGUGCAUUAGCUAGUUGGUAAGGUAACGGCUUACCAAGGCAAUGAUGCAUAGCCGAGUUGAGAGACUGAUCGGCCACAUUGGGACUGAGACACGGCCCAAACUCCUACGGGAGGCAGCAGUAGGGAAUCUUCCACAAUGGACGAAAGUCUGAUGGAGCAACGCCGCGUGAGUGAAGAAGGGUUUCGGCUCGUAAAGCUCUGUUGGUAGUGAAGAAAGAUAGAGGUAGUAACUGGCCUUUAUUGACGGUAAUUACUUAGAAAGUCACGACUAACUACGUGCCAGCAGCCGCGGUAAUACGUAGGUGGCAAGCGUUGUCCGGAUUUAUUGGGCGUAAAGCGAGUGCAGGCGGUUCAAUAAGUCUGAUGUGAAAGCCUUCGGCUCAACCGGAGAAUUGCAUCAGAAACUGUUGAACUUGAGUGCAGAAGAGGAGAGUGGAACUCCAUGUGUAGCGGUGGAAUGCGUAGAUAUAUGGAAGAACACCGGUGGCGAAGGCGGCUCUCUGGUCUGCAACUGACGCUGAGGCUCGAAAGCAUGGGUAGCGAACAGGAUUAGAUACCCUGGUAGUCCAUGCCGUAAACGAUGAGUGCUAAGUGUUGGGAGGUUUCCGCCUCUCA
rnacentral:rRNA from 1 species